GGCAGCCCUCCUGCUGCGGGUCGCCCUGCUGCUGCCCUGGGCCUGCAGCUCCUGGCACGUGGGUCUCUGGGAGUCCUUGUGGAUGUGCCUCUCCAGGGCCCUCCAUCCUCGGUGGGCAGGAGACUCCCCUAGGGAGCUUGCUCUCAAGUAAAUUCAUGGCCAUCGGAUGAUAUUAAUGAGACAUACACGGCAUCAGGACCUUCACAGCCACUACAGAGCCGUCCUGCAGGAGAGAUGUUACUUUUACCAUCAAUGUAAAAACUGAGCCUUAAACUGCUUCAGAAACUGUUUAGAUUCCUUCAACUGAAUAUUCACACUGGAUUUUGAAUCAAGGCCUACGUGGCUUUAGAAAUUUAAGAUCCAAACCGUACCACUGU